UGCGCUUUGCCUAACCUUCAGCAGAAUGUAUUGUUUUAGCAUAUUCUAUGUAUAAAAAAGUUUAAAGAUGUCUUCAAAGAAGACUAGAGUCUUUAAGUCACUUAUAGCUAUAUUUUACUACAAAAAUCGGUGUAUAAAGAUAUAUUUAAGUGUUUUAGAUAAAUUUAAGUUACUCCAUAUGAAAUGUUUAAUUUCAGUUACUGUGAAUUCUUUUGAUCAGUUCUUUGCUUUUUAAAAAUCCCUAUCCAUCCUGUUAAAAAGAAAAUUAACUAUUAAGAGGUAUUAAAAGAUUCAAUUCUUAGAUGGACAGGGUUUAAAACCUUUUGUAAUAUAUUCAAAUGUAUAUUUUUGAGAGAGAUGCUGCAUUGCCAAUGAAGUGAACAUUUAAAAAAUACUGUGUUUUCUCCCUAGCUUCCUGUUAUAGCAUUUCCAAUUGCUUCAUACUUC
rnacentral:lncRNA from 1 species